UAGGUCACUACAGAAAUUUCAGUAAACCCCUCUGAAAUUCAUGCAAUCCGGUCUUGUAGUGAGGUCAUAGUGCUGUCCGUGAUAUGCGUCGCCUCCAUCUUCUUUCCUAGGAGGAGUUCGUCCCGGAGACACGCCUAAGCUGUGGCUUUAAUGGCACGCGGUCUGACAUCUUCGAGACAUCUUCGAGCUAGCAGGAGGUCCUCGUGGAAAUUACCAAUCAAGGAUCAACAGGUGCAGGGUUUUAUCUGUCUGACUAAGAAGCACUAAUGUUUCGUUGGAAAAAAAACAGAAAUUCACCGAUGAAUAUAUUCCAACAAAGCAAGCAUAUAAUGGUAUCUUCAAUACCACAAUAAUCAUAUUAAGGAGCUUCAAUUUAACUCUUACUUUGAAAGCUUCCAGGUAUGUACAUAUUGAUCCCUUUAUAAGUAGAUAUUCCAAGUAUGAUACAUCCUACUGAAUUUUCAUGCUCAUUUUGUUCCCUAAUUUUGCUUGACUCUCAACCUCACCAGCAUAUGCAUUCAUAAAAAGUCACGACAAAUUACAUUACAUUUGAUGGAUAUUAAUUUAGUUCAUGCUAAUCUCUAUUUUCUGGAAUAUAUAUGGAGGCAACUCAUAUUUGCUUGGCUCUCAAUCUCGAAAUUCAUGGAUUAUGUAAUUUUUAAGCAUGAUAUUCUAAAUACCAGAUGUUUACCUGAUUUAUUUAGUGACAAGUUCAAUCUCAGAGAUCUUGGUGCAGAAUAUCAAUUAUUGAUGCUUACUAUUCAUGUAUCA